rnacentral:rRNA from 2 species
ACGGGGUGCAGCAGGCGCGAAACCUUUGCAAUGUGCGAAAGCACGACAAGGUUAAUCCGAGUGUCUCCUGCUAAAGGAGUCUUUUGUCAGUUGUAGAAUCACUGAUGAAUAAGGGGUGGGCAAGUUCUGGUGUCAGCCGCCGCGGUAAAACCAGCACCUCGAGUGGUCAGGAGGUUUAUUGGGCCUAAAGCAUCCGUAGCCGGUUGCAUAAGUUUUCGGUUAAAUCUAUGCGCUCAACGUAUAGGCCGCCGAAAAUACUGUGCAGCUAGGGAGUGGGAGAGGUACACGGUACUCAAUAGGAAGGGGUAAAAUCCUUUGAUCUAUUGAUGACCACCUGUGGCGAAGGCGGUGUACCAGAACACGUUCGACGGUGAGGGAUGAAAGCUGGGGGAGCAAACCGGAUUAGAUACCCGGGUAGUCCCAGCUGUAAACGAUGCAGACUCGGAGAUGCAUUGGCUUGUGGCCAAUGCAGUGCCGCAGGGAAGCCGUUAAGUCUGCCGCCUGGGAAGUACGUACGCAAGUAUGAAACUUAAAGGAAUUGGCGGGGGAGCAC